AUUCCUUGUCGGGUAAGUUCCGACCUGCACGAAUGGAGUAACGACUUUCCCACUGUCUCAACCGUGGACUCGGCGAAAUUGCACUACGAGUAAAGAUGCUCGUUACGCGCGGCAGGACGGAAAGACCCCGGGACCUUUACUAUAGUUUGGUAUUGGUGUUUGGUUCGGCUUGUGUAGGAUAGGUGGGAGACUGUGAAGCAGCCACGCCAGUGGUUGUGGAGUCAUCGUUGAAAUACCACUCUGGUCGUACUAGAUGUCUAACCUAGGUCCGUUAUCCGGAUCAGGGACAGUGCCUGAUGGGUAGUUUAACUGGGGCGGUUGCCUCCUAAAAUGUAACGGAGGCGCUCAAAGGUUCCCUCAGCCUGGUUGGCAAUCAGGUGGCGAGUGUAAGUGCACAAGGGAGCUUGACUGUGAGACAGACAUGUCGAGCAGGGACGAAAGUCGGAACUAGUGAUCCGGCCACGGCAUGUGGAAGCGUGGUCGCUCAACGGAUAAAAGGUACCCCGGGGAUAACAGGCUGAUCUUCCCCAAGAGUCCAUAUCGACGGGAUGGUUUGGCACCUCGAUGUCGGCUCGUCGCAUCCUGGGGCUGGAGUAGGUCCCAAGGGUUGGGCUGUUCGCCCAUGAAAGCGGUACGCG
rnacentral:rRNA from 1 species